AGAUUGAACGCUGGCGGCAGGCUUAACACAUGCAAGUCGAGCGGUAACAGAGAUAGCUUGCUAUCUGCUGACGAGCGGCGGACGGGUGAGUAAUGCUUGGGAAUAUGCCUUUAGGUGGGGGACAACAGUUGGAAACGACUGCUAAUACCGCAUAACGUCUACGGACCAAAGGGGGGGAUCUUCGGACCUCUCGCCUAAAGAUUAGCCCAAGUGAGAUUAGCUAGUUGGUGAGGUAAAGGCUCACCAAGGCGACGAUCUCUAGCUGGUUUGAGAGGAUGAUCAGCCACACUGGGACUGAGACACGGCCCAGACUCCUACGGGAGGCAGCAGUGGGGAAUAUUGCACAAUGGGCGAAAGCCUGAUGCAGCCAUGCCGCGUGUGUGAAGAAGGCCUUAGGGUUGUAAAGCACUUUCAGUUGUGAGGAAAGGUGAGUAGUUAAUAGCUGCUUACUGUGACGUUAGCAACAGAAGAAGCACCGGCUAACUUCGUGCCAGCAGCCGCGGUAAUACGAGGGGUGUAAGCGUUAAUUGGAAUUACUGGGCGUAAAGUGUGUGUAGGCGGUUUGUUAAGUAAGAUGUGAAAGCUUUGGGUUCAACCUGGGAACUGCAUUUUGAACUGGUAAACUAGAGUACUGUAGAGGGUGGUGGAAUUUCCAGUGUAGCGGUGAAAUGUGUAGAGAUUGGAAGGAAUAUUAGUGGCGAAGGUGGCCACCUGGACAGAUACUGACGCUGAGGCACGAAAGCGUGGGGAGCAAACAGGAUUAGAUACCCUGGUAGUCCACGCCGUAAACGAUGUCAACUAGCUGUCUGUGGACUUGAUCCGUGGGUAGCGCAGCUAAUGCAUUAAGUUGACCGCCUGGGGAGUAUGGCCGUAAGGUUA
rnacentral:rRNA from 1 species